AGCCCAUAGCGUGGAAGCUCAUGAGCAUAAGCAACUGCAAGAACCAUGUCACCAGCAAUACUAGCAGAUAUUAUUUGCGCAACGACAUCCUUGUUGCUCUAAUAAAAUGUUAAGCUUGAAAACAUAAUCAUCAAUAAAGGGCAUAAGAAGCUGAUUAAAGUUUAUAAGCCACUA